rnacentral:rRNA from 1 species
AAUAGAUACCCUGGUAGUCCACGCCCUAAACGAUGUCUACUAGUUGUCGGGGGGUAACUCCUUCGGUAACGCAGCUAACGCGUGAAGUAGACCGCCUGGGGAGUACGGUCGCAAGAUUAAAACUCAAAGGAAUUGACGGGGACCCGCACAAGCGGUGGAUGAUGUGGAUUAAUUCGAUGCAACGCGAAAAACCUUACCUACCCUUGACAUGCCACUAACGAAGCAGAGAUGCAUUAGGUGCCCGAAAGGGAAAGUGGACACAGGUGCUGCAUGGCUGUCGUCAGCUCGUGUCGUGAGAUGUUGGGUUAAGUCCCGCAACGAGCGCAACCCUUGCCAAUAGUUGCUACGAAAGGGCACUCUAUUGGGACUGCCGGUGACAAACCGGAGGAAGGUGGGGAUGACGUCAAGUCCUCAUGGCCCUUAUGGGUAGGGCUUCACACGUCAUACAAUGGCUGGUACAGAGGGUUGCCAACCCGGCGAGGGGGAGCCAAUCCCACAAAACCAGUCGUAGUCCGGAUUGCAGUCUGCAACUCGA